rnacentral:rRNA from 1 species
UACAGAGGUGGCAAGCGUUGUUCGGAAUUACUGGGCGUAAAGGGCGCGUAGGCGGCCUGCUAAGUCACACGUGAAAUCCCUCGGCUCAACCGGGGAACUGCGUGUGAUACUGGCGGGCUUGAAUUCGGGAGAGGGAUGUGGAAUUCCAGGUGUAGCGGUGAAAUGCGUAGAUAUCUGGAGGAACACCGGUGGCGAAGGCGGCAUCCUGGACCGAGAUUGACGCUGAGGCGCGAAAGCUAGGGGAGCAAACGAG